GAAGGAACGAUUGAGGUUCAAAAAUUGCAAAAGGCACUACAGCCAGUACACGGAAGAACAAAGAUCUGAACCAAUUUGAAUCAAGGACUCAUUUCAAAAACCUGUAUUGUUUUUUCUGAAUUUCACAUGGAUUAAAGAGAGAAUUUCGCAUGAAUUAGAGAAGGAUGGCUAAUUCUGAGACGAAACAAAGGUCUAAAACCAAAGUUGGGAAAGGCAGAAGGAGAUGGAUUUGGGAGACAAGGCAACAACAGAACCUAAUAGCAUGCUGUGCAGAGGAUGAACAGGAGACACAAAUGACUGAAGUUCAACUGUAAGUGGCUGAAAGAAUGCUACAAAUUAUUCAAUAAAAACAGGAGAGAGGAGGAAAUGUCUACAAAAAAAUUAAUAUUAGGGAAACGUAUGUGCAAGGCAAUAAAUU
rnacentral:lncRNA from 1 species